UGACAUGUUGAAAAAAAUUAUUACUAACUCACUCUAGUAAUACAUUUUUUCUUGUAGCAACCCUCAUCUUAAUAUUGAUAUUUUAUUAAUAUAGAUUUCACUUACAGGUAUAAAUAUUUUUACAAAAGCAUAGCUCUUUGGAAUUGCCAUUUAGUUUCUCAGAAGAACUCAACAUAUCAAAAAGAAAGGGAGGAAGGAAGGAA